UUUUAAAACAGGUUUCGUUUUAAAAACCCUAACCCCUCACCCUUAUCCCCAUAUCUCCCAAAAUACAUUCAGCCGCCGCCUCCGAUUUUUCCACCGCUGCCGUCGUCUCCGCCGAUUAGUCCACCAUCUAGCCGCCGCAACCUCUUCUGGGACCACCACUUCAUCAAUUUCAAUUUGGACCACCUACAGAAAAGAGAUAGAACAUGGAGCUAAAUCCAGGUCCGAUGGAUCGAUCAGUGUUGUAUUGUCAAGCGCGUCAUCGAUCAGAGUUAGUUUGGCAAGAUCAGUGUAACGAGGAGUUGCACUGUAGGCGUAGAGAGGCAGUAUUUGAUCGCACUAUUCCAUUACAUCCUUUGAUUGAGCCAGCACUUCGUGCUUCCGGUUUUUAUGGAUUUGCCAAAGUUGGAUUUAUUCAAUUAGAUUGGCACUUAAUCACUGCGCUUGUGGAGCGAUGGAGGCCGGAGACUCAUACUUUUCACAUGCCUGAUGGUGAAUGCACGAUAACUCUCCAAGAUGUAGCAGUGCAAUUCGGGUUACCGGUAGAUGGUGAGCCAGUAAUAGGGCCAAUACAUUAUGAUUGGAAAGCCACAUAUCAAUUAUUUCUUGGUGUGACUCCAGACGACUCACAUAUUAGAGGAUCUAGACUCAGUUUACCAUGGUUGGCUUCACAGUUCCGGAACUUAG